rnacentral:rRNA from 1 species
AUGCAAUCUACCUUUUGCAGAGGGAUAGCCCAGAGAAAUUUGGAUUAAUACCUCAUAGUAUAUAGAGUUGGCAUCAACACUAUAUUAAAGUCACAACGGCAAAAGAUGAGCAUGCGUCCCAUUAGCUAGUUGGUAAGGUAACGGCUUACCAAGGCUACGAUGGGUAGGGGUCCUGAGAGGGAGAUCCCCCACACUGGUACUGAGACACGGACCAGACUCCUACGGGAGGCAGCAGUGAGGAAUAUUGGACAAUGGGCGCAAGCCUGAUCCAGCCAUGCCGCGUGCAGGAUGACGGUCCUAUGGAUUGUAAACUGCUUUUGCACAGGAAGAAACAACGCUACGUGUAGCGUCUUGACGGUACUGUGAGAAUAAGGAUCGGCUAACUCCGUGCCAGCAGCCGCGGUAAUACGGAGGAUCCAAGCGUUAUCCGGAAUCAUUGGGUUUAAAGGGU